GAACAGCCAUUAGUUAAAUAGACAACUAAUACUGAUCACAUUCAACGCAACUGGAUUUGAAAUGAAUCUUCCAUGCACAGUUAUUGAAGAAAACUAGUUAUAACAUGCAGUAAAACAAAUUCUAACUUCGAACUUAUGAUUCUUAAUAUUUACACCAUACUUGAAUACAAAACUCACUUCACAUUUAAACAACAAAGUGAAUUCUUAUGUAUCAUCGUGUAUGUAAUCAUUUCCUAUGUCAAUUCAAAUCGAUAGGCGAUGAGAUACUCUAAUGAACUUAGCAACGCGUAUACUAGCUAACCAGAUUCGAACUAAAAUUAGCGAUAUAAUACAAGCACUUCAAAGUAGGAUAUGAAACACAAAC
rnacentral:lncRNA from 1 species